rnacentral:misc_RNA from 1 species
ACAAAGGUUGACCAUUCCCAACCAAUCUUAUUACAUAUUGAGUAUUUUAGUUCUAAUAUUGCAAACGGAACACUCCAGGUACAUAGAACUUAUUUGUUAUUAUCAAAAAUUACAGAAUUUGAAAAGUUUCAACAAUCCUAUUAGAUGAUAAACUUGUUAACCAACUUCAAUGGUUCAAAGCAUACCGGGAAUAGGCUAUUAGAAGUCUAGCCGAAAAAAGUAAUAUAAAGAAAAGUUUAAAUCUAGCUGCAGAUUUUCUGAGAAAAGUAAAAGUUGGAUGACGAUUUAUUUACCUGGAGGAAAGGAGUAAAUACAACAUUUUAUAUUGCAGUCUGUAUAGCUAAGUGGCUGACCACUCAAGCUGUAGCAUUACCCACAAAGUAAUGCUGAACAUUUUACCAAAUUCUUGGAUGGAACACAGACCCCCUGAGAGACCAUUUAAAGCAUACCCACGAUCUCCAAUAUCAACUCAAUCAAGCCAGAGCUUUUAUCCGAACAUGCAGAACCCGAUGACAUCCCCAGCUGUAACAGCGUCAAUGACAAGUAUGGCAGCUGCAAUCGCGAUGCAGCAGUACCAAUCUCACCCACAAAUGGCACAUCAUUCCCAGCAGGAACAACCGGUGUGCAUGGUGACGAAAUCUGAACCUCCAUCACCUCCUCGUCCCUCAAGCCUCCAGAUGUCCGGCUUCAUUGAUAUCUCUGAGGGCCGGAAUGCUCCACCACCAGAUGGCUCUGGUAUGCCUAGUAGCACUGGGGGUAGUCUGGAUUACUCAAAUAGCCGAAAUGGUGAUAUGAUCAACAGUCGCUCUAGCAACAUAAUUACAUCACCCAUGAACUAUAACCGUAGCAACUCUUCACCUGCUGCAUCAAAUUCCGGAUCUGCCCCCUCCUCGUCAUCUGAGCAUCCCCGUGGUGCUGAGGGUGGGCUUGAUGAUCUCGACAAUUCUAGUAUGCCUCCCAAGAAACGCACACAGUCUGUUCCUGAUCAGAUGAAAGAUGGCGCAUAUUGGGAUAAGAGGAAGAAAAACAACGAGUCAGCCAAACGCUCUCGUGAUCAGCGUCGUAUGAAAGAGGAGCAGAUAGCAAUGAGAGUCGUGUUUCUUGAACAGGAAAACCUCCAAUUGAGAACCGAGGUCUCAUUGUUGAAAUCGGAGAUUGAAAAACUGCGAUGUAUGCUCUACAACAGUUAGAGAGGAGCUACUUAGGUAUGUCGGAACAUUCUAAAUGUAGGCAUAUUACUACAAAUAGUAAACAUACACAAAAGAUACCCCCUAACUGUGGUAGGGGAAGACAUAUGAAGGUUUGAUAUUACAGUCAAGCUUUUUGAUGCGUUGCAAUCUAGACAAUAGACAGAGAAUGGGAGAUUUGUCUCUAAUGUUACAACAACGAGGAUUUCACAGGAAAUUACACAGUGAAGAAAAAAAACAAUAU